CCUACGGGGGGCAGCAGUGGGGAAUAUUGCACAAUGGGCGCAAGCCUGAUGCAGCCAUGCCGCGUGUGUGAAGAAGGCCUUCGGGUUGUAAAGCACUUUCAGCGGGGAGGAAGGCGGUGAGGUUAAUAACCUCAUCGAUUGACGUUACCCGCAGAAGAAGCACCGGCUAACUCCGUGCCAGCAGCCGCGGUAAUACGGAGGGUGCAAGCGUUAAUCGGAAUUACUGGGCGUAAAGCGCACGCAGGCGGUCUGUCAAGUCGGAUGUGAAAUCCCCGGGCUCAACCUGGGAACUGCAUUCGAAACUGGCAGGCUAGAGUCUUGUAGAGGGGGGUAGAAUUCCAGGUGUAGCGGUGAAAUGCGUAGAGAUCUGGAGGAAUACCGGUGGCGAAGGCGGCCCCCUGGACAAAGACUGACGCUCAGGUGCGAAAGCGUAGGGAGCAAACAGGAUUAGAUACCCGUGUAGUC
rnacentral:rRNA from 1 species